rnacentral:rRNA from 1 species
GAUUAAAUAUUUAUAGGAUAGAGAUGGGCUCGCGUGACAUUAGCUAGUUGGUAGGGUAACGGCUUACCAAGGCGACGAUGUCUAGGGGCUCUGAGAGGAGAAUCCCCCACACUGGUACUGAGACACGGACCAGACUCCUACGGGAGGCAGCAGUAAGGAAUAUUGGUCAAUGGGCGGAAGCCUGAACCAGCCAUGCCGCGUGCAGGAUGACUGCCCUAUGGGUUGUAAACUGCUUUUGUCCAGGAAUAAACCUAAAUACGUGUAUUUAGCUGAAUGUACUGGAAGAAUAAGGAUCGGCUAACUCCGUGCCAGCAGCCGCGGUAAUACGGAGGAUCCGAGCGUUAUCCGGAUUUAUUGGGUUUAAAGGGUGCGUAGGCGGCCUAUUAAGUCAGGGGUGAAAUACGGUGGCUCAACCAUCGCAGUGCCUUUGAUACUGAUGGGCUUGAAUCCAUUUGAAGUGGGCGGAAUAAGACAAGUAGCGGUGAAAUGCAUAGAUAUGUCUUAGAACUCCGAUUGCGAAGGCAGCUCACUAAGCUGGUAUUGACGCUGAUGCACGAAAGCGUGGGGAUCGAACAGGAUUAGAUACCCUGGUAGUCCACGCCCUAAACGAUGAUAACUCGAUGUUGGCGAUAGACAGCCAGCGUCCCAGCG